rnacentral:rRNA from 1 species
GACGAACGCUGGCGGCGUGCUUAACACAUGCAAGUCGAACGGAAAGGCCCUGCUUUUGUGGGGUGCUCGAGUGGCGAACGGGUGAGUAACACGUGAGUAACCUGCCCUUGACUUUGGGAUAACUUCAGGAAACUGGGGCUAAUACCGGAUAGGAGCUCCUGCUGCAUGGUGGGGGUUGGAAAGUUUCGGCGGUUGGGGAUGGACUCGCGGCUUAUCAGCUUGUUGGUGGGGUAGUGGCUUACCAAGGCUUUGACGGGUAGCCGGCCUGAGAGGGUGACCGGCCACAUUGGGACUGAGAUACGGCCCAGACUCCUACGGGAGGCAGCAGUGGGGAAUAUUGCACAAUGGGCGGAAGCCUGAUGCAGCAACGCCGCGUGCGGGAUGACGGCCUUCGGGUUGUAAACCGCUUUCGCCUGUGACGAAGCGUGAGUGACGGUAAUGGGUAAAGAAGCACCGGCUAACUACGUGCCAGCAGCCGCGGUGAUACGUAGGGUGCGAGCGUUGUCCGGAUUUAUUGGGCAUAAAGGGCUCGUAGGUGGUUGAUCGCGUCGGAAGUGUAAUCUUGGGGCUUAACCCUGAGCGUGCUUUCGAUACGGGUUGACUUGAGGAAGGUAGGGGAGAAUGGAAUUCCUGGUGGAGCGGUGGAAUGCGCAGAUAUCAGGAGGAACACCAGUGGCGAAGGCGGUUCUCUGGGCCUUUCCUGACGCUGAGGAGCGAAAGCGUGGGGAGCGAACAGGCUUAGAUACCCUGGUAGUCCACGCUGUAAACGGUGGGUACUAGGUGUGGGGUCCAUUCCACGGGUUCCGUGCCGUAGCUAACGCUUUAAGUACCCCGCCUGGGGAGUACGGCCGCAAGGCUAAAACUCAAAGGAAUUGACGGGGCCCCGCACAAGCGGCGGAGCAUGCGGAUUAAUUCGAUGCAACGCGUAGAACCUUACCUGGGUUUGACAUGGAUCGGGAGUGCUCAGAGAUGGGUGUGCCUCUUUUGGGGUCGGUUCACAGGUGGUGCAUGGCUGUCGUCAGCUCGUGUCGUGAGAUGUUGGGUUAAGUCCCGCAACGAGCGCAACCCUUGUUCACUGUUGCCAGCACGUUAUGGUGGGGACUCAGUGGAGACCGCCGGGGUCAACUCGGAGGAAGGUGGGGAUGACGUCAAGUCAUCAUGCCCCUUAUGUCCAGGGCUUCACGCAUGCUACAAUGGCUGGUACAGAGAGUGGCGAGCCUGUGAGGGUGAGCGAAUCUCGGAAAGCCGGUCUCAGUUCGGAUUGGGGUCUGCAACUCGACCUCAUGAAGUCGGAGUCGCUAGUAAUCGCAGAUCAGCAACGCUGCGGUGAAUACGUUCCCGGGGCU